AGGACUUGAACCAACAACAUUGCAUCUGUUCAUCCAACAAAUAAUAUAUUAUGCCAAGAGAUCUCAAACCCUUGGAAAAUGUAUGGGUGUAGCCCUAAUAUGUAUGUGUGUUAUUAACUCUGUAAAUGAGAUAUUACAAAUAUGCUGUACAGGGGAAGUUAAGACUGGGGUGGUGGUUGUGGGUUAAAAAUGUUGAAUAUGCUUCUUUAACUCUUCAGAAGCAGACAAGGUGCACAACUGUUGCACAGAGGUCUCCAGGCAGAAGAUCACCGUUCCUAUCAUCGGAGCCAGACUACAGAAAAAUAAUCCUCCCUGUGUCAAGGCUGUCAUAUUCGAGACUGAAGAUGGAGAGAUUUGCAGCCACUGGAAAGAGGCCUGGGUUCGACACACAUUCAUUCAGCUGGAAAUGGCCAGAAGGUCACUGAAUACACAGAACACCACCAGCACCUCCCCGUAGAGGACACUACUACUUAUUCUUCUUGUUUAUCAAUCAUCACCAACAUCGUCACUGGCUGAACUUGAGGGAUAGCAUUGUUUAAACCUGUAAUUUAAAUGAUCAACCUUUAAAUUAUGUUAUUUAUGCUAAUGAAGGUAUAAUUUAACCCAUUUAAAUAUUGUGUGAAAAACGGGUGUAUUUAUUAUUUAUUUAUUGCCAGUUUAAGUAUUUAUUGGAUGUUGUAUGUGUGUGUAGAGGGCUAUGUAUGAAUUGCGGUUUGAUAUAUGCUUUUAACAUUAAAUUAAUUCCUGUGAUGUAUAUGUAUAUCAAACUGGUUUAAAAACAAAACAGCCUAUUUAAGCUCCAAUGGAGAAUUGAAGACGUAAGAAUUGAUGCCACAAAAUAUUUUGUACUACAUAAACAAUAUUUUCCAUUAAUAGUG